UACGUAGGGGGCGAGCGUUGUCCGGAAUCAUUGGGCGUAAAGCGCGUGUAGGCGGCUUGGUAAGUCCGGUGUGAAACCUUGGGGCUCAACCCCAAGCCUGCACUGGAUACUGCCUCGCUUGAGUCCGGGAGGGGAGAGCGGAAUUCCUGGUGUAGCGGUGAAAUGCGCAGAUAUCAGGAAGAACACCCGUGGCGAAGGCGGCUCUCUGGGACGUAACUGACGCUGAGACGCGAAAGCGUGGGGAGCAAACAGG
rnacentral:rRNA from 1 species